UGGGGAAUAUUGCACAAUGGGCGAAAGCCUGAUGCAGCAACGCCGCGUGAGUGAUGAAGGCCUUCGGGUUGUAAAGCUCUGUCUUUUGGGACGAUAAUGACGGUACCAAAGGAGGAAGCCACGGCUAACUACGUGCCAGCAGCCGCGGUAAUACGUAGGUGGCAAGCGUUGUCCGGAUUUACUGGGCGUAAAGGAUGCGUAGGCGGAUUUUUAAGUGAGAUGUGAAAACCCUAAGCUUAACUUGGGGACUGCAUUUCAUACUGGAAAUCUAGAGUGCGGGAGAGGAGAAUGGAAUUCCUAGUGUAGCGGUGAAAUGCGUAGAGAUUAGGAAGAACACCAGUGGCGAAGGCGGUUCUCUGGACCGUAACUGACGCUGAGGCAUGAAAGCGUGGGUAGCAAACAGGAUUAGAUACCCUGGUAGUCCACGCCGUAAACGAUGAGUACUAGGUGUAGGAGGUAUCGACCCCUUCUGUGCCGCAGUUAGCACAAUAAGUACUCCGCCUGGGAAGUACGAUCGCAAGAUUAAAACUUAAAGGAAUUGACGGGGUCAUAGCUGUUUCCU
rnacentral:rRNA from 1 species